rnacentral:rRNA from 1 species
GCAAGUCGAACGGUAACAGGAAUUAGCUUGCUAAUUUGCUGACGAGUGGCGCACGGGUGCGUAACGCGUAUACAAUCUACCUUUUGCUGAGGGAUAGCCCAGAGAAAUUUGGAUUAAUACCUCAUGGUAUUAUUGAUAGGCAUCUAUUAAUAAAUUAAAGGUACGGCAAAAGAUGAGUAUGCGUCCCAUUAGCUAGUUGGCGAGGUAACGGCUCACCAAGGCAACGAUGGGUAGGGGGCCUGAGAGGGAGAUC